UACGGAGGGUGCGAGCGUUGUUCGGAAUCACUGGGCGUAAAGCGCGUGUAGGCGGCCCUUUAAGUCCGAUGUGAAAGCCCGGGGCUCACCCCCGGAAGUGCAUUGGAUACUGAAGGGCUGGAGUACCGGAGAGGAGGGUGGAAUUCCUGGUGUAGCGGUGAAAUGCGCAGAUAUCAGGAGGAACACCAAUGGCGAAGGCAGCUCGCUGGGACGGUACUGACGCUGAGACGCGAAAGCGUGGGGAGCGAACAGG
rnacentral:rRNA from 1 species